CCUACGCGUGGCAGCAGUGAGGAAUAUUGGUCAAUGGGCGCGAGCCUGAACCAGCCAAGUAGCGUGAAGGAUGACUGCCCUACGGGUUGUAAACUUCUUUUAUAAAGGAAUAAAGUGAGGCACGUGUGCCUUUUUGUAUGUACUUUAUGAAUAAGGAUCUGCUAACUCCGUGCCAGCAGCCGCGGUAAUACGGAGUAUACGAGAGUUAUCCGGAUUUAUUGGGGUUAAAAGGAGCGUAGAUGGGUUGUUAAGUCAGUUUUGAAAGUUUGCGGCUCAACCAUAAAAUUGCAAUUGAUACUGGCAUUCUUGAGUACAGUUGAGGUAGGCGGAAUUCGUGGUGUAGCGGUGAAAUGCUUAGAUAUCACGAAGAACUCCGAUUGCGAAAGCAGCUUACUAAACUGCCACUGACAUUGAUGCUCGAAAGUGUGGGUAUCAAACAGGAUUAGAUACCCCGGUAGUC
rnacentral:rRNA from 1 species